rnacentral:tRNA from 1 species
GCGGGUGUAGUUCAAUGGUAGAACGCCAGCUUCCCAAGCUUGAGACGAGGGUUCGAUUCCCUUCACCCGCU